GCUUACGGGACGCAGCAGUGAGGAAUAUUGGUCAAUGGGAGAGAUCCUGAACCAGCCAAGCCGCGUGAGGGAAGACGGCCCUAUGGGUUGUAAACCUCUUUUGUCGGAGAACAAAACCCGGGACGUGUCCCGGACUGCGUGUAUCCGAAGAAAAAGCAUCGGCUAACUCCGUGUCAGCAGCCGCGGUAAUACGGAGGAUGCGAGCGUUAUCCGGAUUUAUUGGGUUUAAAGGGUGCGCAGGCGGAGGUGCAAGUCAGCGGUAAAAUUGCGGGGCUCAACCCCGUCGAGCCGUUGAAACUGGCAGA
rnacentral:rRNA from 1 species